UAGUAAUUCCUCCAGUUAUUUCUUCAGGGUUUCCUGUAGGAAUUCCUGUAAGGGAUUCCUCCAGGGAUUAAUUCAGAAAAUUCGCCAGGGAUUCCUACACGAAAAGAAAUUUAAUGAUUUAAUAUAUAAGGUGUUAUUGAUAUUUUUCAUUAGUUACACCGUAAUUGAUUUCAUAACAUCAAUUAAUUAUGUUUAUUUGGAAACAUAAUGAAAGUUAUAUCAUUUUCUUAUACUCUGUAUAAGUUUUGUGUUAUGGUGAAAAUGUAUAAGUUUUAACUAAUACAUAAUAUAAGAUCGUGCUUUGAACAUUUACUCCAAUACAAACAAACGUUGUCGCCGUAAAUUCUACGGAGGAAGCCAUUGUUAUCAUCGCUUCGCUGAAAAGUGUGCUUUCCUCUGUUUCUUUUAAAACUCAGGGAAAACUGAUCGAAUAGCAGAGCAAAUUGCGCAAAAAGGAAGUGCUUAAAGAUCACGGAAAACGGCCCCAAUAAAGUUCCCUACCAUCGCAAUACUCAUUCCGGCGCUUUCGAGCUCCUUGGCCUGGGAAAAUAAAGGUCCACUGGCAACUAGAGGAAGAUCGUCAUCGUUGUUGCCUUCUCGAGAGCGGACCAGCCUUGAGCUGAACAUGAAUGUACGCCGGAGAGCUGAAAGGGAUCACCAACUGCGUCGCUCUGGGAUCCGGUGGAAGGCAACUGCUGUGGAAGCAAGCGCAGUGGAAUUCUAUGGGGGAAGAUUCCUCCAGCACGAAGCAGCUUUGGGAGGGUCGUAGAACCGAUUCAUGUUCGUUUGCUAAGUUAACGUUGUAACGGCAAUUUAAAUGAGAGAAUAAAAUUAUUUCGAGUGUUUCAAAAUC